UACCCAGCAACUCAUAUCCCAACCUCCUCGCGGUACUGGCCGGGGUACGAGUAACCUUAGGGAAGAUCGAGUAACCUUAGGGAAGAUCGAGUAACCUUAGGGAAGAUCGAGUAACCUUAGGGAAGAUCGAGUAACCAACCCCGGUGGAAACUCUGGUCGUAUGCUGACAGGGAAGG
rnacentral:ribozyme from 1 species